AUUUUCUAUGUCACAACUGCAAGCUCCGCCCCCAGAGCCCCACUAAUGCAGGCAAGACUUGGAGAAGUUGAGAGGGCAAUCGCAGAACAAGCGUGUGUGCUAGCGGAUUGCAAUGCUAGUAAGGGUGCUAAUUAUGAUAUUAGCUUUUAUCAUGCCGCUAAAGACAUUCGUGUCCAAUAGUUCAAUAGCUCCUAUGUUAUCUGCUACUUCUACUACACAGGCAAUGUUAGGCUACAAGCUAGCGUGAAGAGGAGUGUGCAGAGCAGCACUGUCUCUGCCCACGGCUCAGAGGCAGAUGCUAUGGAGCUACAUGAGCUCUGCAGAAGAAAAGUCCUUGAAAAUGACACAGGUAAUGUGAUUUUGGCUAGCCACUAUAGGCCUGUAUUACUUUUGUCGCUGUAUUGAAGUCUCCCUGAGUGUCUGUUUGACUGACACACGUCUGUUUUUCUGCUUCUCUUUCAUCAGGGGCUCUUGUUCUGGUCUGAAAGGGGGUAUUUUUCUGCUGCUUAGCAUCUUAGUCUAAACCCCCUAAAUAUGUCAUGCGAUAACUUUUUUUUUUUUUUGCAAAUAUUUAAUGAGUUAUUUUGUGAGCCUUUAUUUACAGCUUAAGAGUACAGAAGAGAAUUAGGGCCACUGGGAAAAAAAAGUCCAAUAUAAUUUUUUGAAAUUAUUAUUCUGGGAUUAAAAUCAGAGUUCUGAGGAAAAAGUCAGAAUAAUAAUUUUUUUAAAAAUUGCAUCAGACCUUUUUUUUUUCAGUAGCACUUAUUUUCUUCCGUACAGGAGAGACAGAAAAUAUGGGAAGAAGAGAGUGGGAGACAAGACAAGCUGUAAGUCAGGUGCCCUGAUUUAAGGCUUUCAAUUGAUAUAGUCAUAUAUAGUAAUAUUGAUAGUAUUUUUUUUCUUGAUUGGUUGUUAACA